AUGCUUCAUCCGUCUAAAAUCAAAUCUUUCUCAAACAUCCGGAACUGGGUCCUGGACACUCUCAUCAACUGUCUCAAAACUGCUUCGGAGUUGGAAUCCUUUACAGUUGUUCCUCACUUACGUUACGCCAUGUUCUGUUUACUUGUUUCUAUGUGUUUUGGUGAAAGAGUUAACGAUGAGAAAAUCAGUGAAAUUGAACGUGAAGAAAGGGCGCUUCUCUUGAGUAUAAGCAGAUUCAAUAUAUUGAAUUUCUGGCCUCAAGUUACUAAGAUUUUGCUGUGGAAAGGAGGAAGAUUUGCAGAAACUUCAUUAUCUGAAGUGUGUCAGUGCUAUUGA